rnacentral:rRNA from 1 species
AUUGAACGCUGGCGGCAGGCCUAAAACAUGCAAGUCGAGCGAGCGGCGGACGGGUGAGUAAUGGAUGGGGACUGGCCGAGGGAGGGGGAUAACUGCUGGAAACGGUAGAUAAUCACGCGUACUCUCGGAUAACCCAUAUGGGAUUAGCUAGUGGGUGAGGUAACGUCUAAACUAGGAGACGAUCCCUAGCUGGUCUGAGAGGAUGAUCAGCAUCCAUGGGACGGUGACACGUGCCAGAUUCCUACGGAGGCAGCAGUGGGGAAGAUUGCACAAUGGGCGCAAGCCUGAUGCAGCCAUGCCGCGUGUAUGAAGAAGGCCCUAGGGUUGUAAAGUACUUUAAGUCGGGAGGCGUUACCGACAGAAGAAGAACCGGCUAACUCCGUGCCAGCCGCCGCGGUAAUAC